rnacentral:snoRNA from 1 species
CUAUAGCCAAUUAGGCCAACCAUGUUCUUUCCCCAGAUGUGUAAUGACUGCAAAUAGCAACUUCCUUGUAGUAUAAACAGUCUGUUGUGCAUAUGGGUUGCCCUAAGAACAUGGAGACAGAC